AUACGUAGGUGACAAGCGUUAUCCGGAUUUACUGGGCGUAAAGGGCGUGUAGGCGGUCUUGCAAGUCAGAAGUGAAAUUCCUGAGCUCAACUCGGGCGCUGCUUCCGAAACUGCAGGACUUGAGUGCUGGAGGGGAUAGCGGAAUUCCUAGUGGAGCGGUAAAAUGCGCAGAUAUUAGGAAGAACACCGGUGGCGACGGCGGAUAUCUGAACAGUAACAGUCGUGCGACGGUGAACGCGUGGGGAGAAACAAAGAAUAUAUCCCAGGUUAGCCCGCGCCGGAACCGGUGAAUACUAGGUGUAGUGGCUAUGGACUCCCUGUGUGCUGCAGUUACCACAAUAAGUAAUCCGCCUGGGGAGUACGGCCGCAAGGUUGAAACUCAAACGAAUUCGCGGGG
rnacentral:rRNA from 1 species